GGAGGAGCUGAUCUGUCCCUGAUCUCUAAAGAGACUCAAACUUCCUCCUUCAGCUCAGCUCAACUCUCCAACAUUAACUCUGCUCAACAUGCUGUCUCUGCUCACAUCUGGAUUCACUCUGCUGGUUCUGAUCACUGGAUCAGGUGUAAACUGUCAACAACUCACUGCAGCGAAGACUGAGGAGUUCAGUUCAGAGGGCAGCUCUGUUACUCUGACCUGCAGUUACACCAAAGAUUCUGCACAGGUUUUAUUCUGGUAUCAACAAAAUCCAGGAGAACCUCCAGAGUUCCUGAGGUCUCACUCACCUUUUGGUGGAUCAGAACAUCUGGACAGGAUGACAUUUAAAGGAAGCAAAGAAGAAAUGUCCAUGAAGAUCUCCUCUGCUGCAGUGACAGACUCUGCUGUGUACUACUGCGCUCUGCAGCCCACAGUGACAGGAAACACCAGAACCCUGUACAAAAACCUGCAGUUCUCCACAGCAGCCACUAGAGGGCCUCUCUCCCUGUUAAUCCACUGGUUGUUGAGUCUUUGGACUGAAGACAAAGACAACAGAGACAUGAAGCAGUAAAGAUCAGAGACAGAGCUGCUGAGGAAGCAGAAAACUCUCUGAUUGGUUGAGUUGAAAUG